rnacentral:rRNA from 1 species
AUUGAACGCUGGCGGCAGGCCUAACACAUGCAAGUCGAGCGGAGCGGCGGACGGGUGAGUAAUGCCUGGCAAUCUGCCUGGCAGUUGGGGGUAACGUCCGGAAACGGGCGCUAAUACAGCCUACUAUCAGAUGAGCCUAGGUCGGAUUGGCUAGUUGGUGGGGGAAAGGCUUACAAAGGCGACGCUCGGUAGCUGGUCUGAGAGGAUGAUCAGUCACACUGGAACUGAGACACGGUCCAGACUCCUACGGGAGGCAGCAGUGGGGAAUAUUGGAUAAUGGGCGAAAGCCUGAUGCAGCCAUGCCGCGUGUGUGAAGAAGGUCUUCGGAUUGUAAAGCACUUUCAGUGGGGAGGCGUUACCCGCAGAAUAAGCACCGGCUAACUUCGUGCCAGCAGCCGCGGUAAUUC